rnacentral:rRNA from 1 species
UGCCAGCCGCCGCGGUAAUACGGAGGGUCCAAGCGUUAUCCGGAUUUAUUGGGUUUAAAGGGUGCGCAGGCGGAACUUUAAGUCAGUGGUGAAAUCUUGCCGCUUAACGGUAAAAUUGCCAUUGAUACUGUUUAACUUGAAUUAGUGUGAAGUAAUUAGAAUAAGUAGUGUAGCGGUGAAAUGCAUAGAUAUUACUUAGAAUACCGAUUGCGAAGGCAGGUUACUAACACUAUAUUGACGCUGAGGGACGAAAGCGUGGGGAGCGAACAGGAUUAGAUG